rnacentral:rRNA from 2 species
UUGAACGCUGGCGGCAUGCCUUACACAUGCAAGUCGAACGGCAGCGCGGGGCAACCUGGCGGCGAGUGGCGAACGGGUGAGUAAAAUAUCGGAACGUACCCUGGAGUGGGGGAUAACGUAGCGAAAGUUACGCUAAUACCGCAUACGAUCUAAGGAUGAAAGUGGGGGACCGCAAGGCCUCACGCUCCUGGAGCGGCCGAUAUCUGAUUAGCUAGUUGGUGGGGUAAAGGCCUACCAAGGCAUCGAUCAGUAGCUG